rnacentral:rRNA from 1 species
UCCGUAGGUGAACCUGCGGAAGGAUCAUUACCGAGUGUAGGGUUCCUAGCGAGCCCAACCUCCCACCCGUGUUUACUGUACCUUAGUUGCUUCGGCGGGCCCGCCAUUCAUGGCCGCCGGGGGCUCUCAGCCCCGGGCCCGCGCCCGCCGGAGACACCACGAACUCUGUCUGAUCUAGUGAAGUCUGAGUUGAUUGUAUCGCAAUCAGUUAAAACUUUCAACAAUGGAUCUCUUGGUUCCGGCAUCGAUGAAGAACGCAGCGAAAUGCGAUAACUAGUGUGAAUUGCAGAAUUCCGUGAAUCAUCGAGUCUUUGAACGCACAUUGCGCCCCCUGGUAUUCCGGGGGGCAUGCCUGUCCGAGCGUCAUUGCUGCCCAUCAAGCACGGCUUGUGUGUUGGGUCGUCGUCCCCUCUCCGGGGGGGACGGGCCCCAAAGGCAGCGGCGGCACCGCGUCCGAUCCUCGAGCGUAUGGGGCUUUGUCACCCGCUCUGUAGGCCCGGCCGGCGCUUGCCGAACGCAAAUCAAUCUUUUUCCAGGUUGACCUCGGAUCAGGUAGGGAUACCCGCUGAACUUAAGCAUAUCAAUAAGCGGAGGAAAAGAAACCAACCGGGAUUGCCUC